rnacentral:rRNA from 1 species
GUCUAUGGCCAUACCAUUCUGAAUGUGCCCGAUCUCGUCUGAUCUCGGAAGC